UACAGAGGGUGCAAGCGUUGUUCGGAAUUAUUGGGCGUAAAGCGCGUGUAGGCGGCCUUGCAAGUCGGGUGUGAAAUCCCUCGGCUUAACCGGGGAACUGCGUCUGAUACUGGAUGGCUUGAGUUUGGGAGAGGGAUGCGGAAUUCCAGGUGUAGCGGUGAAAUGCGUAGAUAUCUGGAGGAACACCGGUGGCGAAGGCGGCAUCCUGGACCAACACUGACACUGAGGAGCGAAAGCCAGGGGAGCAAACGGG
rnacentral:rRNA from 1 species